ACGGGAGGCAGCAGUGAGGAAUAUUGGUCAAUGGAGGCAACUCUGAACCAGCCAUCUCGCGUGAAGGAAUACGGCCCUACGGGUCUUAAACUUCUUUUAUAGGGGGAUAAAGUGAGCCACGUGUGGCUUUUUGUAGGUACCCUAUGAAUAAGCAUCGGCUAACUCCGUGCCAGCAGCCGCGGUAAUACGGAGGAUGCGAGCGUUAUCCGGAUUUAUUGGGUUUAAAGGGUGCGCAGGCGGCGUUUUAAGUCAGUGGUAAAAUCGUGGGGCUCAACCCCAUCCUGCCAUUGAUACUGGAGCGCUUGAUUGCGGUCGAGGUUUGCGGAAUUCGUCGUGUAGCGGUGAAAUGCAUAGAUAUGACGAAGAACACCGAUUGCGUAGGCAGCAGACCAGUCCGUAAAUGACGCUCAUGCACGAAAGUGCGGGGAUCGAACAGGAUUAGAUACCCUGGUA
rnacentral:rRNA from 1 species